AGUGAACGCUGGCGGUAGGCCUAACACAUGCAAGUCGAACGGCAGCACAGUAAGAGCUUGCUCUUACGGGUGGCGAGUGGCGGACGGGUGAGGAAUACAUCGGAAUCUACUUUUUCGUGGGGGUUAACGUAGGGAAACUUACGCUAAUACCGCAUACGACCUACGGGGGAAAGCAGGGGAUCUUCGGACCUUGCGCGAUUGAAUGAGCCGAUGUCGGAUUAGCUAGUUGGCGGGGUAAAGGCCCACCAAGGCGACGAUCCGUAGCUGGUCUGAGAGGAUGAUCAGCCACACUGGAACUGAGACACGGUCCAGACUCCUACGGGAGGCAGCAGUGGGGAAUAUUGGACAAUGGGCGCAAGCCUGAUCCAGCCAUACCGCGUGGGUGAAGAAGGCCUUCGGGUUGUAAAGCCCUUUUGUUGGGAAAGAAAAGCAGCAGGUUAAUACCCCGCUGUUCUGACGGUACCCAAAGAAUAAGCACCGGCUAACUUCGUG
rnacentral:rRNA from 1 species